AUUAUCUAUUCUAGUAUUAUGUUCUCAUUAAGAUUUUGGAUGAUUGACCCUUAUUUUUCCAUAAUCGAAUAAGCAUAUUAAAUUCGUAUCUACUUCCUGUAAUAGAAAUGAUUAUGAUGAUGAUGGAAUGAGCCAUGUGAUGUACUACUAAUGAAUUAUUUCGGCACAGGACCAUUUUGUCCAUACAUCAAUAAUUACACAUUAAUUUACAUAUCCACGCUUGACGCGUGCAACUAUAUAUAACAUAUAUAAUAAUGUAAUUAAGUGCGUGUAUUAUGUUUAUACUAUGGAUAUAUUCAGGGGCGGACCCACGUAAGGCCCAGGAGGUUCAACCCCCUGAAAAAAAGAAUUUCAACUUACUCUCCUAUAAUAUAUUUUUUUGAACCCCUGAAAAUUUAAAGUUGCACCCUAGACCCCAACUCCUCUCUCUCACAGUCACACUAUAGUCAGAUCUCUCUCCUCUUACCAGUCACGCACACACUCACGCUCUUCACUCUCAAGUCUCUCAUUCUCUGAUUUCCCAAGCACCACCACCGGCCACCACCACGCCGCCGCCGCACCACCACGUGCCACUCUCCAGCCGUGCGCCCUGCCUUUGGCUCUGCCUAUGCGGUUCUAAUUUCUGAAGGUAUGGAUGAAGGUCCUGAGUGUGGAUUAAAGCUAAAAAGUGUGUAUGUGUAUACUCUGUGUUCGAAUGGCUGUAGAAUCCGUGGGAGAGCAUAACUCAGAUUUGAUGUGGGUUUACAUACUGAAGUUAUUUGGCAGGAUGUAGAGAGGAUCAAAUUGUUGGCUGCAGGGUGUGUUUUAUUCUCAUGAUGCCAUUGAAUUUUAUAUGGCUGGUUAGGCUGUGAUAUUAAUUAUAGUGCACAAAGUGGUGGUAUGCAUGGUGGGGACUUGCUAUUGUGUCUGCAUAAGUAUUAAGGUGGUUUUCUUGCAAGGUGCUGUUUAGGCAAUAAGUUUUGUUUGUGGUGGAAUUAAAUUCAGCUAUGAAUUGACACCAAUUUAUGAUGAUUGCACUCAAAUGGAGAUGGCUACUGCUACUGAUACUAUUAUGGAAGGAGCACUGCAAAGGGGAGCUGAUUUCGUGCAGGUCUUUUACUGCGCAUUGUUUUAAUUUGUGAGGCAGGUUCUUCCUUUGGAUAUAUUCAGGCUGAAGGCAUUUGGACAGUGGAGUGUUGGAGGAGGCUUAUAAUUCUCUUAUCUGCUUUUAUUCCUUCUUGGUGGUUACCUUUAGAUUUUAGAAAUUGGUACUAUUUUUCCUUCACUGGGUUUUUCCUAGUAAGGUUUUAAUGAUGCCUUUUUCUAAAGUCUUUCCUCCAAGAAGAUGGUGGGAUAUCAUUAGUAUAUGGUUCAUGUAUUGCUGUAUUUUUUGUCGCACUUAUCUUGUCUUAUUUCCUUCAUUUCCUUA